UUCCGGUUGAUCCUGCCGGACCUGACUGCUAUCGGAUUGAUACUAAGCCAUGCGAGUCUUUGCAGUAAUGCAAGGCAUACGGCUCAGUAACACGUAGUCAACUUACCCUAUGGACGAGGAUAAUCUCGGGAAACUGAGCAUAAUACUCGAUAGAUCAUAAUGCCUGGAAUGGUUUAUGGUUAAAAUGAUUCAUCGCCAUAGGAUGGGACUGCGGCCUAUCAGCUUGUUGGUGAGGUAAUGGCCCACCAAGGCGAUUACAGGUACGGGCUCUGAGAGGAGAAGCCCGGAGAUGGGUACUGAGACAAGGACCCAGGCCCUAUGGGGCGCAGCAGGCGAGAAAACUUUGCAAUGUGCGAAAGCACGACAAGGUUAAUCCGAGUGAUUUCUGCUAAAGAAAUCUUUUGCAAGUCAUAAAACCACUAGUGAAUAAGGGGUGGGCAAGUUCUGGUGUCAGCCGCCGCGGUAAAACCAGCACCUCAAGUGGUCAGGAGGAUUAUUGGGCCUAAAGCAUCCGUAGCCGGCUCUGUAAGUUUUCGGUUAAAUCCAUGUGCUCAACGCAUGGGCUGCCGAAAAUACUGCAUAGCUAGGGAGUGGGAGAGGUAGACGGUACUCAGUAGGAAGGGGUAAAAUCCUUUGAUCUAUUGAUGACCACCUGUGGCGAAGGCGGUCUACCAGAACACGUUCGACGGUGAGGGAUGAAAGCUGGGGGAGCAAACCGGAUUAGAUACCCGGGUAGUCCCAGCUGUAAACGAUGCAGACUCGAUGAUGCAUUGGCAUAUAGCCAGUGCAGUGUCGCAGGGAAGCCGUUAAGUCUGCCGCCUGGGAAGUACGUACGCAAGUAUGAAACUUAAAGGAAUUGGCGGGGGAGCACCACAAGGGGUGAAGCCUGCGGUUCAAUUGGAUUCAACGCCGGG
rnacentral:rRNA from 1 species